ensembl:lncRNA
UCCAAAAUACAAAACAGCUAGUCUCAGUGAAAAAAACAUCCAGAAUGUAAAGAAAAUGAUUAGAGAACUGGAUUUUAACAACCCAGAUAGACAAGUUCUCAAACAUGUUCUAGUGGGAAUGUCAGUCGCAGUAAAGAUAUGCUCUGCUGUCACUAUUCAGAGGGGUAAAAAGGAAAUAGUCAUUGAAGGAUAUCUUCCCAGAUUAACUCAACUUGCAACCUUGGUUGUUUUCCUGCUUCCAAAAUCAAAAACUAAUACAGGUUGUCUACUUGAAAUGGGGACAGGUGAAGGGAAAUCUUGUAUUUUAGCCAUGCUUGCUGCAAUCCAUGCCAUUCGUGGUGUAAAGGUGGACAUUGUGACCAGCUCCCCGGUCCUCGCCUGUCGUGAUUUAGAGGAAUGGGUUGGACUGUACAACAUGUUUGGCAUAACGUCAUCUGCUGUUCCUCCAAUGCUGAAUGAUGUCUCAUCUGAAAAACAGAGGAACUGACUCAGGAAGCGUACAAACAACAAAUAAUUUACAGUACUGUUGGGACUUUUGCAGCAGAUACACUGAAACAAGAGUUUGAGAAGAAAACAACUCGAGGAGACAGAAGGUUUGAGCUGGUCCUUGUGGACGAGGUUGACUACAUGACCUUGGAUAAUGGAGUUCAAAUCACAUUUCUGUCCCAUGAGUCCAGUGGCCUCCAGCAUUUGGAGCAAGUCCUAGCAAGCAUCUGGGCCAUGAUAUCUGCAUGUCGACCAAUUGAGACAGAAGACACUGGAGAGACCAUGUGGACAACAAGAGUCCAGAAUUUUCACACAGCUGCCCUGAUAGCAAUGAUUGGUUCAGUAAAAAGUGAUACAUUUUCACCACUGGAAAUUUUGUUGCCAGGCACCGAAUUAGGCUUUUACUCAGAGGAAGAUUUUGAAAAUUUGAAGCUCUCUAUUAAUGAUGGAGGAGAAAAGCAACGUGUCACUAUGGAAAAUGAGGCAUGGAAGACCAUCAUGGCCAAAACAGGAAUAGAACAACAGUAUGACCUGCUCAGUGUUCUCGAGAUGGGGAUGGAGCAGAAGGUGGCAUUCAACUGUUAUAUAUAUCAGUCAGAAACUAGAAAAGCCAUUCAGUUUGGAGAAAAAAAGGCAAAAACUGACCAAAACAUCAACAUGUUGCUCCUCGAGAAUGGAAACGCUUGUGAGAUCUUGUCUGAAAAUUUGCUUGUUGAAGCCACUGUUAGCCAGCUGAAAUCAAAGAUUAAAUAUUCUAAACAAUGCAGUUCAAAAGAAGGAAACAGCUCUCUUGUGAUCCCUUCUUUCUUAGAGAAAUACCUGGAAAAUCAGCUGCCACUGUUUGUUGAGAAUGCAUUGAAGGCCAUUCAGAUGACCAAAGGCAGAGAGUACAUGAUCGAGAGAUCUCUUAGUGCUCAGGGAAUAGAUGUUAGUGAAGAAGAUCAACACAUGUACCAUGCAAUAAUUCCAGUGGAUUUCCAGGCCAGUGGAAUGUUGGAGAAAAGAAAACGGUGGGGUGAUGGACUGCAACAAUUUCUGGAGAUGAAGCACCAGUUAACUUUAUCACCGUUAUCACAUGUGACAAACUACAUGUCAAAUUCCAAUUUCUUUAAAAGAUAUCUCAGUGGGAAAGGGAUAUUUGGUGUUUCUGGAACACUGGGGGGAGAUGCUGACAAGGGUUUCCUGGCAAGGCAUUACAAAACGGACAGCUAUGUCAUACCAGCUCAUCAGCGUCAAAAGGUUACUGAGCUGCCUGCAGUCCAGGUGAGGGGAGGUACCGAACAAUGGCUCCAAACUCUUUGUGCCACGGUCUCAAAAGUCUCUGACAGAGGACAGGUGGUGUUAGUCGUGUGUGAGGACGUCAACACAGCAAAUGCUCUCAAAGAAAAAGUAAAAGCAGAAAGCAAACAUUCAGUUACCAUGUACACGAUGAGCGAGAGCCACAACAUUGAGAACCAGGAGUUCAUCAAGGGACACAUCAUCAUUACCACUAACCUUGGAGGACGUGGAACAGACAUUAAGGUUACGGAGGAGGUUAAUCGCUGUGGUGGUCUCUUUGUGUUACUCACGUACUUCCCCAAUAACCGAAGAGUCGAGAAACAGGUCUUUGGGCGAACAGGUCGAAAAGGCACCCCGGGAAAUGGUCCAGUUAAUACUGAACCAGGAUCAUCUAGCCAUGGCCUACCGAGGACAUUCUAUUGAGGUCAUGAGGGACCUCAGAGAAGAGUAUGAGGUUAAUCGAAUAAAAGACAUGGAGAAGGAGAAACUAGCUGAAAUUGCAAUGAAGGAAGAGCUGUUCUCCACAUUUUGUCAGUUCCUUAGUGACUUUGACAGGCGUUAUAGUACAGAAGAGAAGACAGACCUCUUUGAAGUUAAAGUAAAAGAUGUCCCUCGUUACUUUGAGUCCUUUCAGAGUAAGAUGGAUUAUCAUCCAGCCCUGAAUGCUUUAAAAGAGUCAUGGGGUAUGUGGUUGAUACUUCACACAGACCAGAUUAACAUACAGAAUGGCCUCACUGAAUUGAAAGAAGACCUCAUCCAGCACUUGCUAGAUACAAGUAACAAACUUUUACAAGGUCAGAGUGAAAACCUUUAUGACCACAUUCAGCAGGCUUUAGGACGAACUGCCUUGCACUUUCAAAACAAAAACAAAUGUGACUAUGGAGCGAAAUCUUACUGGCAAAAAGCCUCUGACUCCGACAGCUACUACAGAGCUGUUGCACUGUAUAACCAGGCCUACAUUACCAUUAACAUGGCCAAAGAAGGCUACAAAAGUGAGGCGUGCUCCUUACUUGAGGAGGCAGAGAAAGCCAUAGAUGUUUACAUAUCAGAAACGACCAAUACACUGAGCUUUUGCUCCUUGUCCGUUAAUCGAGAUUUUGAACCUCACCAUAGCGGCAGCUGUAACUUCCAAAUACAAAUGCAGGCGAGGAUGAACAUAUUUAACUCAUGGAAGCAAAAUAUCAAAAAAACACUUGACUCUUUACAACUUAUCCACUGAGGAGGAUUUUGUGUCUUGUAGUGAACUCGGUCUCUUUCGUAAUUAUGGCCUUGCAGUUGUGUUUGAACUGAAGCAAAAGCCCCAAUUCUCAUUUGAUGCCCUGAUUUGUUGUUUUCUUGGUAUGGUUCAGAUUGUAGCAGGAGUUCUGAUAUGUGAGAUGUCAGCUGGUUCCAUGUCCUCUUUUGGUCCUGGUUUGAUCUCCGAAGGUGUGUAUGACAUGAUCAAUGGAGUCAUGGGUAUGAUAAAUGGCAAUUUUACUUGGGCUUCAUGGGCAAUGUCUAAAUCAAUGAGGAUGGGAAAUUCUUUGGCCUGCGGUGGAUUUAGUGUUCCCAAAAGAUCAUUGUCCUCUGUGAAAAACGCAGCAAAUGGAAUCUUCAAUGGCACUAAAUCACUGAAGAAUAUUGCGUGGAGUGUCCUCCGAUCAGGAAG